rnacentral:rRNA from 1 species
UCGCUCCUACCGAUUGAAUGAUCCGGUAAAAUCUUCGGACUGCGAAGCUGGGUUGGGCAACCAAUUCAGUUUCACGGGAAGUUGAUUGAACCAUAUCAUUUAGAGGAAGGAG